GGAUCGACGAGCCGGGCCCGGACCCCAUGAUAAAUAUUUUCAAGGGUUGGGAUCCGAGACUCGAACCCGGAUCCUCCAGAGUGGAAACGCUUAGGCCUUCUCCACACGGAGCGUAUUGUCAUGGACGCGGCAUCGUUUGCUUGCAGCGUCACAUGUUUUCAAAUGCAUGUCUGUACACAAUGCAGCAGCAUAGCAUAUUCGUCAUACUUCUCAAGCUUCAUGACGCCGGCCGUACUGUACUGUCGUUCAUUAGCCGUAUGAAGCUAGGCUUAAUUGUGCACUCUAUACAGUUUACAUACAUAAAUAAAAAAAAAUGAUUACUAUAGAUCG
rnacentral:lncRNA from 1 species